rnacentral:rRNA from 1 species
AUAGCGUAUAUUAAAGUUGUUGCAGUUAAAAAGCUCGUAGUUGAAUUUCGGGAUCAGUACGCCGGUCGUGCCUUCGGUAUGCACUGGUGUCACUGGUUUCUCCCUUCUGAAGAACCAUCAUGCCAUUCAGUUGGUGUGGCGGGGAAUCAGGACUGUUACUUUGAAAAAAUUAGAGUGUUUAAAGCAGGCUCGCGCUUGAAUACAUUAGCAUGGAAUAAUGAAAUAGGACGUUUGACCCUAUUUUGUUGGUUUCUAGGAUCGACGUAAUGAUUAAUAGGGAUAGUUGGGGGCAUUAGUAUUCAAUUGUCAGAGGUGAAAUUCUUGGAUUUAUUGAAGACUAACUACUG